rnacentral:lncRNA from 1 species
UUAGUGAGAGCAACUGGGCAAGGAAAAAAAGACAUUUAACUAGAACAGAAGAAAUAAAACUAUCUGUGUUUGCAGAUGAUAUCAUCUUAUGUGCAGACAACCAUAAAGAAUCCAUAGAAAAGGGGAGGACUCAAGAUGGCACUGUGAGAACAACCCAGGAUUGGAGCUCUCGUUCUGUCCGCGGAGAGGUUUUGGGGUACAUGUGAAGAACAUACA